rnacentral:rRNA from 1 species
AACGAACGCUGGCGGCAGGCUUAACACAUGCAAGUCGAACGCCCCGCAAGGGGAGUGGCAGACGGGUGAGUAACGCGUGGGAACAUACCCUUUCCUGCGGAAUAGCUCUGGGAAACUGGAAUUAAUACCGCAUACGCCCUACGGGGGAAAGAUUUAUCGGGGAAGGAUUGGCCCGCGUCGGAUUAGCUAGUUGGUGGGGUAAAGGCCUACCAAGGCGACGAUCCAUAGCUGGUCUGAGAGGAUGAUCAGCCACAUUGGGACUGAGACACGGCCCAAACUCCUACGGGAGGCAGCAGUGGGGAAUAUUGGACAAUGGGCGCAAGCCUGAUCCAGCCAUGCCGCGUGAGUGAUGAAGGCCUUAGGGUUGUAAAGCUCUUUCACCGAUGAAGAUAAUGACGGUAGUCGGAGAAGAAGCCCCGGCUAACUUCGUGCCAGCAGCCGCCGUAAAAC